rnacentral:misc_RNA from 1 species
GUGAUCCGAGGUCUUGUUGAAUUGGAAAAGGAAUUGAAGGAUGUUCUUGGUAUUGUGGGACUAAUGUCUUCUUCGACCUGUGCCGAGGUUAUUCAGGAACUGAAAAACAAGGCACUGGAGAGGGCAGGACUCACAGUAGAAGAAGUUAAUCAGCAUAUUUGCGACAGGACUGAGGCGAAGAAGGUGAAGGAUUUUACGAGGGCUGAUGCGAUUCGGCAGGAACUGAAAACAAGGGGCAUAUACCUCGAGGAUGAAAAGGAUGGUAGCAUGACUUGGCGACCAUGUGAACCUGAGAUGCAACCUGAGGUGCAACCCGAUGGGGUACCUACCUCCACUUUGGGUGUUCCACUAUCUGUUGGUGUUGUAAAUGGUGAUUCCGAGGUGAUUCCAGGUUCCAGUCCAGCUGAUCCUACACGACGAGAGAAACAAGAUUCCUGAUUCUGGGCAUGAGAUGGAUGUUGUUACCAGAUUCUUGAUUUACUCUCGUAUUUAGCAGUUUUACCUUUUAUAUUUACUUGG